rnacentral:ncRNA from 5 species
UUUAUGGAGAGUUUGAUCCUGGCUCAGGACGAACGCUGGCGGCGUGCCUAAUACAUGCAAGUCGAG